rnacentral:ncRNA from 2 species
ACCAUGGGCGAUGCAGCUGGUUCGGCGCCGAAGCCAUCGACGUCGUCGCAAGAGGGAACCCGGUGAGAGUCCGGGACUGCCCCGCAGCGGUGAGUGGGAACGACAGCCGUCAGGUAAGCACUGGGUCGCCAGGCCCGGGAAGCGACGGCCGGUAGGAGUGUGCACGGCGCCCACGAGUCCGAAGACCUGCCAGCGCGCCGCGCCCACC